rnacentral:rRNA from 1 species
GACGAACGCUGGCGGCAUGCCUAACACAUAGCAAGUCUAGGGGUAGCAAUACCACUGGCGCACGGGUGAGUAACACGUAGGUUAUCUGCCCCCAUCACAGACAUAACCCCGGGAAACGGGGCUAAUAUCUGAUGAGGUCGCGAGAUCCAAAGCUUCGGCGGAUGGGGAUGAGCCUGCGGCUGAUUAGCUAGUUGGUGAGGUAAUGGCCUCACCAAGGCGACGAUCAAGUAGCUGGUCUGAGAGGACGAACAGCCACACUGGAACUGAGACACGGUCCAGACUCCUACGGGAGCAGCAGUGAGG